UGGGGAAUUUUGGACAAUGGGCGAAAGCCUGAUCCAGCAAUGCCGCGUGUGUGAAGAAGGCCUUCGGGUUGUAAAGCACUUUUGUCCGGAAAGAAAUCCUUGGCUCUAAUACAGUCGGGGGAUGACGGUACCGGAAGAAUAAGCACCGGCUAACUACGUGCCAGCAGCCGCGGUAAUACGUAGGGUGCAAGCGUUAAUCGGAAUUACUGGGCGUAAAGCGUGCGCAGGCGGUUUGCUAAGACCGAUGUGAAAUCCCCGGGCUCAACCUGGGAACUGCAUUGGUGACUGGCAGGCUAGAGUAUGGCAGAGGGGGGUAGAAUUCCACGUGUAGCAGUGAAAUGCGUAGAGAUGUGGAGGAAUACCGAUGGCGAAGGCAGCCCCCUGGGGCCAAUACUGACGCUCAUGCACGAAAGCGUGGGGAGCAAACAGGAUUNGAUACCCUGGUAGUCCACGCCCUAAACGAUGUCAACUAGUUGUUGGGGACUUCAUUUCCUUCAGUAACGUAGCUAACGCGUGAAGUUGACCGCCUGGGGAGUAC
rnacentral:rRNA from 1 species